GAAAUGCGAUACGUCAUGCGAAUUGCAGAAACUUGUGAGUCAUCAAAACUUUGAACGCAACUUGCACUUCCGUAAGGGAGUAUGUCUGUUGGAGUGUCUGUUCAUCCCCACUUCCGCCCCCAAGGGCGGGCAGUGCCGGCCGCUUGUCGCACGCAGCAAACUGUUGCGACGGACAAUCGAGCCUAGAUGAAACACCAAUCAACCGAACUCGCCCCUGCUCUUUGCCCACAGAGAGCUCGGACGACGCGACGUGGGUCAGGACUUCCGGGUCUUUUCACAUCUCACGCGUCCUCUCCGAGCCCAACUCUGCAGGUACACCAAAAGAGAGCCCCGGCAUACCAUGAGUUCAUCCGAUCGGACCUCCAAUCAGGCAAGAAUACCCGCUGAAUUUAA
rnacentral:misc_RNA from 1 species